ensembl:lncRNA
AAAAUCCGUGAAGACUUGAAUUUGAAUCCUAAGCGUUCAGAAUACAACGCUCCCUUCGCGUGCGUGUGCGCUUGUGUAUACGAGCUGCCGCAUCCCGUUUCACUCAGCAUCCGCUCUCGCGCGUUUCCCGGUAACCGAGCACCGCGCUCCCGCCGCCUUACCGGAGCCACCGUGUCUCUGACCGAGGCGCUCUGCCUUCUGAAGGAUAAUCGCCCGGAUUCGGUGCCUGAGCCUUUCCCGACACAUCUAGCAGAGAUUAAAAGAGCUAUCCGGGGAUUUUACACUGAAUCAUGCUCAGCGUUGACGAAGACGUUGCCUCCAGUCUGCAAAGUCACCGCCGCCUCCAAUUGGCACUCGCUCUGGCACGACAUCCAAUCAGCAGGCAGCCUGCCAGAGACUGACAAGUAUUUAACUCGCACACCCCUCCCACCUCACUUAGUCAUGCCGGGCGUUUCCGCAUCAGCCAAUUAGUAACCCAUUACCAAAGCAACACAGAGUAUACACGCUAACGAGCAUUUGAUGGUAAUAUUUAACUUCUAUUUCAUCAAUGUCAGGAUGUGAGCGACAUUCUCUCUCUGUCUGUCUCCCUCCUGUCUGCUUCCCACAAAGUCUUUAACCUGUCUGGUCAUUUCAAGAGCUCCUUCUAUCCUUCUUCAUUUCUUCAUCAGUCCACUCUCAUCCUUCAUUCUUUCCUUUUUCAGCCAUACUUCUGUUGCUAUCCGUCCCCGUCUUCAUCUUCGUUUGACUCUUCUUCUACCCUGUACGGUCUAUCGGUUCUCUUUCAUCCCGUGUUCAUCCGUUCCACCUCUUCUUUUCAUCUGUCUCCUUUCGACUGCGUCUCUCCUUUCUCUCUCUCUCUCUGUCUAACCACAUCUUGUUUUCCAGUGGCCCUCCCCUACCUGUGCGCACCUCUGUUGAAUGCAGAAUGUUCUUUUCAGGCUCAAAGGUCAUUGAAAGGUCAUGGUUAGCGUUUAGAUUCUGGGAAGUAAAAGCUGAAAGGGAGCCAUGUUCUCUGGAGAGAGAGAGCGAGAGAGAGAGAGAGAUUCUGUCAGUGCUAGAGCACUGAAUAAGAUGUAUGCAGGGCAAUUCAAGCACAAUAUUGUCUGACUCCAAUAUUAGUUUCCUUCUAAUCCCUCCUCUUAUAGAUCUAUCUAUCUAUCUAUCUAUCUAUCUAUCUAUCUAUCUAUCUAUCUAUCUAUCUAUCUAUCUAUCUAUAUUAUUAAACAAAAUAGGACCAACAAAAGCAACAACAAUGAGAUUAUAACCAGUGGCGGACUGGCCAUCUGGAGCACUGGGAGUUUUCCCAGUGGGCCGCUGUACAAUGUGGGCCGGCCAAUGCAUAAAUAUAAAGAAUGGAUUAUAGUAAAUGUAGGCUAUGUAGCCUAUAUCCGUCCAUCGGUCGAGAUGAAUGGCCUGCGCAGCCCACUUGAGUCAAACAUUCAAAUUAAUUUAAAUUAAUUUAGCACACUCUGGCUCAUUGCAGCGGCUAAAAAGUGCUUGUCAAUGUCAAAAUGUUUUUGCCAAUCAAAUUGAAGAAGGCAGGAUUUAC